GAAACUUAAAGUUUAAUGCUUAGUGAGUGAUAAUUUAGGAAAUCCUUUUGAGAUACAAAAACACACAUUAAAAACUCUCAUUUUCAUAAAUGUCUUAACACCUCGUUAUGCAUUUAAAUAUCACAAAUCACAUUAGCCUUUACUAAUUUCUCUUCACCUGGACAUUGAAUAUUCUUAGACCCAUCAACUACUAUGAUGA
rnacentral:lncRNA from 1 species